GUAAUCUAAAGAAAGACAAGCUCAAUGGCUGCAGUAUUCCUGACUGUAUUAAGGUAGCACAAUCAAUUGCCGCUUAAUUGGCGGAUAGUAUGAAUGGUAAAACGAAGAUUCCACUGUCUCAAAUGAAAAUUUUAAAAAAUUAAAAUAAUAGUUAAGAUGCUAUUUAUAAUCGUAAGACGAUAAGACCCUAUAAAGCUUAACUACAUUUUUCUAUAAAAAAAAUGGAAGAAAGGUAGUUUACUUGGGGCAAGGACUUUUUAAACUCAAAGAAAGUAAACAAAACAAAUAAAACGUUUAUUGUAUAAAUUAUAAUUUUAACAAUCACAAUGUGGGUUAUAAUGACCCGUUAAUAUUACUAAAAAAAAUUAACGAUUAUUAAAUAAAAGCUACUUUAGGGAUAACAGGAUAAUUUUAUCAAAGAGUUCCUAUCGCUGAUAAAGUUUGUCACCUCGAUGUUGAAUUAAGAUAACCUGGCAGAGCAGAAUCUGCCUAAGGUGGGUCUGUUCGACCCUUAAAUAUCUUACAUGAUUU
rnacentral:rRNA from 1 species